UUGGUGGGGUGAUGGCCUACCAAGGCGACGACGGGUAGCCGGCCUGAGAGGGCGACCGGCCACACUGGGACUGAGACACGGCCCAGACUCCUACGGGAGGCAGCAGUGGGGAAUAUUGCACAAUGGGCGGAAGCCUGAUGCAGCGACGCCGCGUGGGGGAUGAAGGCCUUCGGGUUGUAAACCUCUUUCGACAGGGACGAAGCGGGAGUGACGGUACCUGUAGAAGAAGCGCCGGCCAACUACGUGCCAGCAGCCGCGGUAAGACGUAGGGCGCGAGCGUUGUCCGGAUUUAUUGGGCGUAAAGAGCUCGUAGGCGACUCGUUGCGUCGGCUGUGAAAACCCGCGGCUCAACCGUGGGCUUGCAGCCGAUACGGGCGGGCUAGAAUUCGGUAGGGGAGACUGGAAUUCCUGGUGUAGCGGUGAAAUGCGCAGAUAUCAGGAGGAACACCGGUGGCGAAGGCGGGUCUCUGGGCCGGUAUUGACGCUGAGGAGCGAAAGCGUGGGGAGCGAACAGGAUUAGAUACCCUGGUAGUCCACGCUGUAAACGUUGGGCGCUAGGUGUGGGGGGCCUCUCCGGUUCUCUGUGCCGCAGCUAACGCAUUAAGCGCCCCGCCUGGGGAGUACGG
rnacentral:rRNA from 1 species